rnacentral:rRNA from 1 species
UGUGCCAGCAGCCGCGGUAAUACGUAGGGCGCAAGCGUUAUCCGGAUUUAUUGGGCGUAAAGGGCUCGUAGGCGGCUCGUCGCGUCCGGUGUGAAAGUCCAUCGCUUAACGGUGGAUCUGCGCCGGGUACGGGCGGGCUGGAGUGCGGUAGGGGAGACUGGAAUUCCCGGUGUAACGGUGGAAUGUGUAGAUAUCGGGAAGAACACCGAUGGCGAAGGCAGGUCUCUGGGCCGUCACUGACGCUGAGGAGCGAAAGCGUGGGGAGCGAACA